UACGUAGGUGGCGAGCGUUGUCCGGAUUUACUGGGCGUAAAGGGAGCGUAGGCGGACUUUUAAGUGAGAUGUGAAAUACCCGGGCUCAACUUGGGUGCUGCAUUUCAAACUGGAAGUCUAGAGUGCAGGAGAGGAGAGUAGAAUUCCUAGUGUAGCGGUGAAAUGCGUAGAUAUUAGGAGGAAUACCAGUUGCGAAGGCGGCUCUCUGGACUGUAACUGACACUGAGGCACGAAAGCGUGGGGAGCAAACAGGAUUAGAUACCCGGGUAGU
rnacentral:rRNA from 1 species